rnacentral:rRNA from 1 species
UACGAGGGGGGCGAGCGUUGUUCGGAAUUACUGGGCGUAAAGCGUGCGCAGGCGGUUAUGCAAGACAGAUGUGAAAUCCCCGGGCUCAACCUGGGAACUGCAUUUGUGACUGCAUGGCUAGAGUACGGUAGAGGGGGAUGGAAUUCCGCGUGUAGCAGUGAAAUGCGUAGAUAUGCGGAGGAACACCGAUGGCGAAGGCAAUCCCCUGGACCUGUACUGACGCUCAUGCACGAAAGCGUGGGGAGCAAACAGG